AUCUACCCAGUGUUACAUGACCAGAGCAUUGACUCAUUACCUAAUUUCAAACUAAAUACGGAAACUCUCCAGCUAUUCUUGAGCGAGCUACCGUCCACCUACUCCAGCAAUACUACUCUGUAGUAUCUGCACGAUACCCAUGUAAAGGUAACAUUCAAACAGAAAGGGUGAGAAUUCAAAUCAUUAUGAAAUAGCAUAAUAAGGCACAAUGAAUUAAAACACAAUUUAAGAAUUCAUCACACUUGGUAUAAUUACGUCA
rnacentral:lncRNA from 1 species